AGGGGUAGCCACGGGAGUGCCUCCGCCCAUGACAGCAGUGUGCAGGAAGCUGACCUGGAGCUGGGAAGCCGGGAGAAGGCACGUGGGGUUCCACCUAGAUAAACCCCAAAAAGACAGCUCCAGUGAGGGACUAGCAAACCUGAGACCAGCACCUUUAGGAGCCAGAAUUGGCACAGCGAGGCUUCCCCAGGUGCAGACGCCAAGUGGCAUCCCCCAACUCCUGGAAGAGGAAUCCUGAUGAGCUCCAGAUUAAAAAAUCAAUCCAGUUCAAAAGUGAUCAGGGGAAACUAGAUUCAGUUAGAGAGGACAGAGCUACGAGGGCCAGGAGUAGAGGGCAGGCCUCUCACUACCCCAUCCUAGAGAAACUCUGCCAUUGGAGGGAGAAAAUCUGCACUGGGUCUGGAAUGAUUUAACUGUCCAGCUCUCAGAGAAGCAACUUAGUUCUUCGGAGCUUUGUUAGCAGAGACACAACAGAGCAGUGCAGACUACCAGGAGCUGCGCAGAAACGCCCCUUCCCCCAACCUACUGCACAUCUGGCAUCUUUUAAAAUUUUCCAAAGUCGGGGAAAUAAACUCCGGUGUCUGUC
rnacentral:lncRNA from 1 species